rnacentral:rRNA from 1 species
CNAUAGUUCGCUUUGGAAACUGUCAAACUNGAGUGCAGAAGGGGAGAGUGGAAUUCCAUGUGUAGCGGUGAAAUGCGUAGAUAUAUGGAGGAACACCGGUGGCGAAAGCGGCUCUCUGGUCUGUAACUGACGCUGAGGCUCGAAAGCGUGGGGAGCGAACAGGAUUAGAUACCCUGGUAGUNCACGCCGUAAACGAUGAGUGCUAGGUGUUGGAUCCUUUCCGGGAUUCAGUGCCGCAGCUAACGCAUUAAGCACUCCGCCUGGGGAGUACGACCGCAAGGUUGAAACUCAAAGGAAUUGACGGGGGCCCGCACAAGCGGUGGAGCAUGUGGUUUAAUUCGAAGCAACGCGAAGAACCUUACCAGGUCUUGACAUCCCGAUGUUAUUUCUAGAGAUAGGAAGUUACUUCGGUACAUCGGUGACAGGUGGUGCAUGGUUGUCGUCAGCUCGUGUCGUGAGAUGUNNNNNNAAGUCCCGCAACGAGCGCAACCCCUAUUGUUAGUUGCCAUCAUUCAGUUGGGCACUCUAGCGAGACUGCCGGUAAUAAACCGGAGGAAGGUGGGGAUGACGUCAAAUCAUCAUGCCCCUUAUGACCUGGGCUACACACGUGCUACAAUGGUUGGUACAACGAGUUGCGAGUCGGUGACGGCGAGCUAAUCUCUUAAAGCCAAUCUCAGUUCGGAUUGUAGGCUGCAACUCGCCUACAUGAAGUCGGAAUCGCUAGUAAUCGCGGAUCAGCACGCCGCGGUGAAUACGUUCCCGGGCCU